rnacentral:lncRNA from 1 species
AUACGUAGUUCUUUUUAAGUUUCAAAAACGCAGCGGAAAAAUCGAAUCAAACAAUUUUAAUUCGUGAAUGCUUACAAGAUCAAAUCUAGAAAUCAGCACUGUAAGAACACAUAGGAUUAUACCGGAAUCGUUUAAACAAUUAUGCUAAAACUUUUAUGCAUGAUUAACUAUCAGAUCUGAAACUUAAAAACUCUAUUCCAAUUAAUCUCCGAAUAUCCAUCGAAUGGAUUCUGGAGAUAUCUCCAUGAGGAGCUCCAAAAGAGGGUAAAACCUUGGAGAAUCGGACCUAGAUCUUGACACCAUAAUGAAUAAUUAAUGCUAGAUUACUACCUUUUAUGAUGGAUGAAACUUGUGGAUCUGAUCCUUGACUUUGUAGCCACGCAUACGAAUGGCCUCUACGAGAAGUACACGCGAAGCUCCUGAAGAGAUCCAAUCCUGCGGAAGUGCUAGCUUGCGCAGAAUUUCUUGAGGCUGAAAUUUGAUCUUCCCAACGCUAUCAACUUUUGAUCCACCUUCUUGGAAGAACUUGGAGGAAAGGUUUAGAGGGAUUGAAGAGGACUUAGAUCUGAUCUAAAGACUCUUAUCAGGGACCCUUAACACUAAUGGCGUGAAGGACUUAGUGGAAGAUCAAAUGGCAAGUUGGAAGAUGAACUAGUUUCUUCUUUCUUUCUUUUUUCUUUUCUCCUUUUUCCUUUUUCU